rnacentral:rRNA from 1 species
GGGGGUAGCGGCGGACGGGUGAGUAACGCGUGGGAAUGUGCCUCUGGGUGCGGAACAACCACUGGAAACGGUGGCUAAUACCGCAUGAUGUCUACGGACCAAAGAUUUAUCGCCCAGAGAUCAGCCCGCGUUGGAUUAGCUAGUUGGGGGGGUAAUGGCCCACCAAGGCGACGAUCCAUAGCUGGUUUGAGAGGAUGAUCAGCCACACUGGGACUAAGACACGGCCCAGACUCCUACGGGAGGCAGCAGUGGGGAAUCUUAGACAAUGGGGGAAACCCUGAUCUAGCCAUGCCGCGUGAGCGAUGAAGGCCUUAGGGUUGUAAAGCUCUUUCACCGGCGAAGAUAAUGACGGUAGCCGGAGAAGAAGCCCCGGCUAACUCCGUGCCAGCAGCCGCGGUAAUACGGAGGGGGCUAGCGUUGUUCGGAAUUACUGGGCGUAAAGCGCGC